AUUGAACGCUGGCGGCAGGCUUAACACAUGCAAGUCGAGCGAGCGGCGGACGGGUGAGUAAUGUCUGGGAAACUGCCUGAUGGUGGGGGAUAACUACUGGAAACGGUAGCUAAUACCGCAUACCAUCAGAUGUUCCCAGAUGGGCUUAGCUGGUAGGUGGGGUAAUGGCUCACCUAGGCGACGAUCCCUAGCUGGUCUGAGGGGAUGACAAGCCACACUGAAACGAGGACACGGUCCAAACUCCUACGGGAGGAAGAAGUGGGGAUUAUUCGACAUGGGGCGGAGGCCUGAUGCAGCCAGGCCGGGUGUGUGAAGAAGGCCUUCGGGGUGUAAAGGACGUUCAGCGAGGAGGCGUUACUCGCAGAAGAAGCACCGGCUAACUCCGUGCAAGAAGCGCGGUAAUUC
rnacentral:rRNA from 1 species